AGCGAACGCUGGCGGCGUGCUUAACACAUGCAAGUCGAGCGAAGGUGUUUCAAGGGUAACCUUGAGAUACACUUAGCGGCGGACGGGUGAGUAAUACGUGGAUAACUUACCUCUAGGCCUGGGAUAACCCCGGGAAACUGGGGCUAAUACCUGAUAAGACCACAUUGUCUACGGACAAAGGGGUAAAAGGUGGCUGUGCAAACAGCUAUCGCCAAAAGAUAGGUUCACGUCCCAUCAGGCAGUGGUGAGGUAAUGGCUCACCAAACCAAAGACGGGUAGCCGGCCUUGGCGGGUGAACGGCCACACGGGGACUGAGACACGGCCCCGACUCCUACGGGAGGCAGCAGUGGGGAAUAUUGGGCAAUGGGCGCAAGCCUGA
rnacentral:rRNA from 1 species